CGGAUGUGACGUCAGGUCUUUAGGUAAAUUGAAGACAGGUGUGCUCAAGGGGAGUUAUCAAAUGCAUGUGCCACCGAGCGCGUGGCGGCGGGCGGUUUCUCAGGAUUUUCACGCUCAGUUCUCAAAUGCAGGUGCCACCGAGUGCGUGGCAUUUUCUCAGGAUUUUCACACUCGCCACGGCGACUGCAGUCGUCGAAGUUACCUGGAGGCUGCAGGGAGAGUUUUCAAAUACGCCCCAAAAUGUGUGGUUUGUUGCCUUUUCUCACAAGCCUUUUUUAUUUUGUUUGUUUGUUGCAGGACUGUCGUACUCUCGUGACUCGGACACGCAACAAACAUUUGCGUGGGUUAUUUUCUCCCGUUUUGGACGCCGCUAACCUGGAUCAUCUGUCCAA